UCGCAAAAUAUGUAGCAGUGCUUUAUUGGAGUCGGUUUCAAAAACAGCCGCCCUCUGCAGUUUAGCGGCGAUUUCGGUGACACAUUGGAGAGAAGCGGCUAUUUGCUCUUUCUUUCCCUCAUCCAUCACCGUCUCUGCACCUCCCCAAAGUUUCUACGCUCUGCUAGCUCCUCUGCUUCUUCUGCUCCCUCUGCUCUGCCAGAUCAGCGUAGCGACACGAGCAUUCUCCACCACGCCCGCCGCAUGUUCUUCUUCUCCUUCUUCCUUUAUUUCUUUAUUUGGAUUCUGGUUUAUUUUUCUUCUUUUUUUUCUGCUAGGUUUUCACCUGUUUACAAGAGGAGAAGUGCCCCUCACCCAUAACAAAGGGGCUCUUCUGUCCUUCUGCUUUGCACCUUCACUUCUGGUUUUCUCUUCAUGUUUUUUUUUUUUUGUUCUGAUUUUUUGCAAACUCUGCUCUUAGGUUUUCUACUAAUUAAAUUGAUUGUUUUGAUUUAUGGUAGAAGAAGAGAAAGCUCAAUAGAGAAUCUUUUUAGUAUAUUCCAUUCAAUAUCAGAAUAUCUAAACAAGUUGUAAAUUGCAGUGUGAGAAUAAUUUUUACAAAUAUUUCUAUAAAUUUGUCAUAAUCAAGUGAUAAUACCCUUUGAGUUUGGACAUGGGAGCUUAGAAGAUAGGUCAUGAAUCUUGGUUGAUAUUGAGACUAUUAAGCCUACUCAUGUUUUUAAUGUUGAUGAUUUCACUAGUGCCUUUAAUUUGAAGUGGUUUGAGGCUAACAAAACAGAAUCUAUUGGUGUUGAUGUUGUUGGUGUGCUAACAUUGGCAAAUGCUUGCAAGGACCAUAGCCUCCCCAUGUGAAUUAUGCCUUUAGUGGCAAUUUUAAACAUAAACCAAAUUCUAAUGUUUCUUUCUACACUAAAACCCAAGUCAAGGCGAGUUCCAAAAAGUAUACAGUCUUGGUUAGAUGAUUAGAUGUCCGAUGUUUUUGGUGCAUCAGGACUUAUUGAUUUUUAUAAUCAGUAUAUAUUGCGAGUGAAUUUGUCUUUGACCCUUUUAAAAUUUUGUGUUAGGUUGAAGAGCUUCUAAAGGAUUAUGAUUUAUGAAAAUGUAUGAACCCUCAAAAUUCAAUUUCCAAUAUCCUCUGAACUUAAGCAAUUCACACAACUUCAUCACUAAGAUGACAAGAUCAGAUAAAGUGGCUAAAGUAUCAUUAUAUCUUGUAAGAUAUUUUAUGGUCAUUUUAUUGCUUUUUUAUUUAUUAUUAUUUUUCAGAGCUUGAAUGAACUUUUUUUUUUCUUUUGCAACAGUGUUCAGUGAGCAUUACACACUCCUUUGUGCAAUUUAGAAACAAAGAUCAAUAUCAGCAUAAAAUAUCUCCUUAGCUCUCCACUUGUUGCAUUCAAUCUCAGCUACCUAUCCGCUAGGGAAGACCAUUAUUAAAAUGACAAAAUACGCAUUUUACUUCUGGCAUUUUGUUUCGGAGAUAUCAUUGUCUUAAACUCUUGAUUUGUUAUUAAUUUAUUCUUGUGAUAUUUUAGCCAUCUUUAGGUUGCUUUAUUUUUGUGUUUGUUUGGAUGUAGAAGCAAUUGAGCAGCUUUGUAAGACCAACAUUUUUUUAAUUUAAUUGUGAAAAUUGUGGGGGUUAUA